UACGUAGGGUGCAAGCGUUGUCCGGAAUUAUUGGGCGUAAAGAGCUCGUAGGCGGUCUGUCGCGUCGGUCGUGAAAACUCGGGGCUUAACCCUGAGCUUGCGGUCGAUACGGGCAUGACUGGAGUUCGGCAGGGGAGACUGGAAUUCCUGGUGUAGCGGUGAAAUGCGCAGAUAUCAGGAGGAACACCGGUGGCGAAGGCGGGUCUCUGGGCCGAUACUGACGCUGAGGAGCGAAAGCGUGGGGAGCGAACAGG
rnacentral:rRNA from 1 species